rnacentral:lncRNA from 1 species
GAUCGCGUGUAGAACAAAAGAGCAGUGUUCCGUAGCCGAUCGUGGUCCUCUGAUUCCUACUUGUAAGUUUUAAACACUAAACAGUGUGACUUAGUGGUGCGCGCUUCUAUAUCUCGGUAAACGAGGGUUGUGAAAAAGUAUAGGUAGUAUAAACAAAUAAACGGAAAUAGUAAACUAACGGUUGUGUUAGAUUUUUUUCGAUUAUUUAUCGUUAUUUUGCCUAUCGUUCUCGUGUAUUUUGUGUUAAUGUGUAACGAUACUCGCCGGCGUAUCAAGACGUCAACAGGAAUAGCAGGAUUCGCGAGCCGUAAAUUUCGAAGUGACUGAAAGUGUUAAAGGUUUGAUUUAUUUUUUAAAAUGUUCAAAUUAAAAAUCUUAAAACGCCGGUUUUUCCCCGUACAAACUACAGGUGGACUGUAACAUUUUUUGGUUGAAGUCUGGCUCUUAAAUAGUUGGGUACGAAAAAAUAAAAUCAAAUAAAAAUAUAUCAUAGUAUAACAAAUAGAUCACAUGGUCUCUUCCUUGAGAGCCAGACUUCAACCCAUUCUUCUAACAAUAACAUUUAUGAUUCAUCGCAUAUUAUUUUUUCUUUUUGAAAGAAUAAAUAAAAAUACAAAUAAAAUAAAUGUAUAAUAAUUUAUAAAAACUCGCGAUUGAUAAGAUUAAUUAGUUGUGCAAGGGUCAGAUUUAAUCUUGGGCCUCGAGGGGUAUAUGAGGAUUGUGGGGAAACUACUAUUACAAUCCAGAUAAUUUUGAUAGGUUUUACGCCGUCCACUGCCACCACAGCGAUUUGAGUUGUUUUACGACCAUAUUAUAUUAAUAAUAUUAUAAUUUAUAAUGUUCACUGUUUACAACCACAUUAAAGUAUCUACUGUGCAAUAAAAGAUGACGAAAAUAUUUUCGAACACGUUCUAAAACGUAAUAAUUCCUAUCAAUGUAUCUUAAUAUUUUUCUAACGAAAACGCAAUACGACGGCGGCAGAGGUGAUGGCGAGUGGGUCACACGCCACAGCGGCUGCCCCUCUCAGCCCACGCGUUACAGCUGUUUUUUAUUUACAAACACAACCGACCGAACAACAAUAAUAAUAAAUGCUACGCGCAAGACGGACGGGUACUCGUGCACCGAGGGGGACUUUGCGGCGGCGGUAAUGCGCGGGGUGGGCGAUCGUCGGCGUAUAUUAUUACGUCGUAAUUUGAUUAGAUUAAAAUAAUGCACACACCACUAUUUUCAAGGUCGAUGACUACGCGACAGCGUCUUUAUAGACUGGCAGGGCAUCCCAAUUUCAAAAAGCCUGUCCUAAGAUAAUAGAGAUGGGUGGAACACCGUUGUAGGUGGGAAGUUGGGAAAGUAGGAUAUAGACAGAAAUAUACUGUAUAUCUGUACGCAACGAUUAACCAUUGCUAACGAAAAAACGAUUCUGAGUGGAGUUCGGUUGAUUGUGUUGCUUUUGUCAACAAUAUAUAUGUCAUGUUAUGGUAAAAUAAUUACAUAUAUGCAUUAUAUAUUUUCUUUAAUAAUAUUUAUUUAUUAAUGUACCUAUUUUUCCUGUUUUUCCUACGUUUUUUCCCAUUUAUUGAAAAAACUUCUGGGAAAAUUAAACCUAACGAAAAUUUACGAAAAUAAUGAUUUUAUUAUUUUCAACUUUAUUUUUUUUUUUGUUUUAAUUCAGUUAAAAAGAUACUUCAAAUUUGGACGUUUGAUGAGAAAACUCUUAAGAAAAUCAAAAAAUGAUCUCCCUGAAGUACCUCCCCAGUCCUAUUUAAUUUCUGAAAAGGUGCUAUCAUUGUAAAUUGGAGCAAGAUUUCAGGUAGAAAAGUUGCGCACAGAUGAAAAAAAAUAAAUAUGUUUGUAAAACCAUAAGUUUCUUCGCUUCACUCAGAAUCUAAAUUUUUUUCAAAAUUAAAAUCAUAUGGACACAGAAAACUAGGAUAAUAAUAACAGAGAUUACCCAAAUUAAACUAUACAUAAAAUACAAACUAAAAUAAUGUUACAAAAACAAAUUAUUAUGAUAGAAUAUUAAAAUGCACUAAAUUUAUUCACGAAUCAUGAUAUUUACUUACUAAAUCCCAUCCCCUCCCAUUGCAAAUUCCUGCGCACGCCAUUGGUGACUUAAAAUAUUAUUGUGUAUUAUUAGGACUUACUUUUAUAUACCAGCAUUGAUUUCAGAAUAUUAUAAUAUUUUAGUAUAUUCUGAAACCAAUGGUAUUAACUACUAGUACUUGCAGUGGCCUUUCAUUAGAAUUUUUUCAAAUUCGAACAUUUCGCAUGUUACACUUAGCUGUUUUAUUAAUAACGUGGUGUUGCAUGUUAUUAUAGCGGUCGACUUCGUUACGAAACGCGGUUUUACAACGGACAAAAUUAUGAAACCCCAUAAAUAUGAAUAGAUUGGGUUGUAGGUAAUAAUAAUAGUAUAGUGAAUUGAAUAGGCUAUUACUAUAAUAACUGUAGGUAAGGCCAGAGACGAUGUUCCCGGUUGAACGGAUUUUGAACGAUUUUUCAAUUAGGUAUCACCAAAUAAAUAAACCGCCUCAAUGUAUGAAUCAUCUUGGAAUAACUAUACCCGUCUUUCUUGGAACACUGAUAAGGUAUGGAUAACCUAUUCAUAUCUUUAUUAUCUAUGAUUAUAAUAUUAUGUAUGUUGUAUAAUUAGGAUAGGUUAAAUUAUGUUUUAGGUGUUACUUUAAAAAAAAUUACAGAAAAUAUAUUAAUCACUUUUCACGUAAAGAAUAUCAUUUGACAAUUUUGACAGAUAUUUGUUGUAAUUAUUGUAUUAUGAGUAUGAGACAAUACACUUGUAUGGAGAAUCAAAACAUCAAAACAAAAAAAUCUCUAAAUUAGUUAACGCAUAAUUUAUUAAAUAAUAAAUAGAAUUAAUUCAAAUGUUUGAUUAUUAAUUAUGGCUUACUAAUUGUUUAUUAUAAUAUUUACCUGCUAUAAUUUUAAUGGAAAAAUAGUCCACUACAAGCGCUAAAACGCUUAUUUUUGACACUAAUUUAUUAUACAAUAAUUGAUCAUACUCAAUGAUACAUUGGGAGGCUAUUUUUUUUUUAUAACUAAUCAUAAAUUAAAGUAAUUAAGUAAAUAAAUAAAUCUAUGUAUAAAUUCAUUUAAAUCGGCAUAUUUCUAUAUACUCUAACUAUAAUACUAAUAUGCUUAUGUGAUGUAUUUGCCAAUUUAGCCAUUUUAUGGCUAGAACUAGUAUAUUCUUUUACCCAUCUAGCUAUUGCAAUUUCGUAAAUUCUUAUAGCCAUAAAUCUAGCAUAUUUUAUAUUAUUUAUUAGCCAUUACUUAGCAAUGUUUGAUAGGUAUUGAAUUAAAACUAUAAAUAUAAUAUAUUAUAUGAUUAUAAAAUCUUAAAAAAAAAUAUAUAUAUAUAUUAUAUUUAAAUAAAUAAAUAAAAAAAUAAUUAUGAUAGUAAUAUCAAAUUAUAAUAAUUAAUAAGACACCUAGUAUUUUUAUUUUUUAGCUAUGAUAAUAGUUUAUAUAAUCUUUCAUUCUUUCACAUGGUUUUGUCAUAAUAGUUAGGUUAGUUUAUUAUCUAUUGUUGUUUUUUUUUUUUUAUUAUUUUAUAGUACGUUAAUAAAGUUAUAGUCUAACCUAACCUAACCCUUAGUUGUUUGAAAUAUUUUUACUCUAUUUGUAAACUAUAAAUUAUAAUUUAUGCCUAGAAUAAUUGUUUUUUUAACUUAUUCAAGUCUAUUGAAAGGAAAAAAAAUGUUUAAGCUUACUAAUUUUUUUCAUAUCAAUAAUGUGUAAUUAAUAGAUCAGUUAUGGUUAUGCCCUGCAUAACCACACAGUUACUAUUUUAUACCAAACAAAAUUAUUUUUAUUUAUGUAAUUUCAGUAAAUUUCGUAAGAACACAAGUAAUAAUACUCGCAUUAUUGUUAUACAUAUUUCUUAAUUGGGAUUUCUUGGCAAUUUGCCCAUAGUUUUCAAUGUUUAAGAUUAUAUUUAAAGUAAAGUAGGUUUAUUACAAAUUAGCUAUUUUGUUUAUUGUGAUUUUUUUUUCUAUUAUUUAAUUGAGUCGUAGAUUAAAACAUACAAAACUAUUCUAAAAAUAUGAAUUAUCAAUUAUAAAUUUGUACAUUAUUAGUUAUUACUAGGUAUCUACUGUAGUCUAAACUUGGGACGUAACAAGCUAAUAACUGUCAGAGAGAUGACUCUUGUAUCAUCUACGGUGUAUAUAACUGAAUAAUAUAUUAUUGAAAACAAAUUUUACUUUGUAUUAAAUCUGCUAUAAUGAAAUAUUUAAAUCGAAAAAAUCAAGGACUCUGAUUGACUACCUAUGGAAUAAUACUAUUUUGUUAACCUACCUAAAAAAAAAAGAAAUAAGCCUCUUAAAGUCUUCAAGUUGACUAUUCGUCCAAAAAGUUUUAAAUAAAUUGUAGAACCAAUCUAACGGUCACACGAAAUAAAUAAAUAUUAUCACAAUAUUCCAACAAUACCUAUUUAUUUUGUUUUGUUUCUUACAUUAAGUUUCUUGUUAUUUAUGGAAAUGCAAUGCGUAUAAAGAAAAACAAUAAGCCAUUAGAGUAUAUUAUAUACUUAUACAUACUUCUAUUUCUAUAAUAAAUUAUGUUGAAAUUAAAACAAUUGCACAAAUUACUGAAACGUGUUUUUUUUUUUCGAAAUAAUCAGUGUUUGAUGGUUAGAUAUUAUUAUUAAAUUACACGCAUAAUAAUAUUGUGUUUUGUGUAACGAAUAUAAAUUAGUAAUACACUAUUUACUAAUACAGGUACCAAGUUAAAUCAUUGAAAAUAUAAUGAUCAUCCUAAAUGCGAAGUAUAUUUGAACGAAGCGAGGAAUGUGUAGAGUUUUACUAAGUUUAUUUAUUUAUUUUUUUUAUAUACUCUGUACAAAAUAACUACCAGAAAAUCUUACUCCGGUGUAACAUAGGUAGUACCUUUUUUGAAAGGAAAUUUUAUCUAAUUGGUGCAUUAAAUUCUUUAACAUUAUUAUAUGAUAUCAAAACAAAUAUUGUCAAGUAGGUAAUCUAUUGUCUUUGUUCAUUAUGAAUAAUUAAAAUACGUUUUUGAGUUCGAUAUGCCUGAAAUCUAAAUAGUAAACAGGAAACGUGUUAAGAGUAUUAUAGAUAUUUGUAUAUCAAUAAAAAUUCAGAACUAUUGAUAAAACAAAAGAAUCGUGCCGUAGGAAAAAAAAUCAAUUGGUCAAGCACCAGCGUUUUAAAUAAAUAAUACUAAAACUCGUAUUCUAAUAGCAUUAUUAUUGUGAAAUUUAUUGUUUCGACAUUUUGAAUAUUGUUCACAACCUACUUCUAACUAUAGAUGUAUACGUACUUAUUAAAUAACAAACUUUAAAUAAAAAAGUAGCUUAGUAUUAUUAAUCACUAUACAAUUAAAUCUUUUUUGUAGGUAUCUAUUAUUAGGACUUAUAUUAACAUAACACUAGAUUAUAAAACAAAUAUUUAUGGGCAUUCAGUUAAAACCACAUUUUACACGGGACAUGUACGUAUUAAAUAUUUAUGUUUAAUACAUAAAUAGAAAAUACAUUAUAAUAUAUUUGUAAAAUAAUAUGAUACUAUAAUUAUAUAUGUAGGUAUUCAGCAGUAAAAAUAUCAUUAUCAUUAAGUACACUGGCCACAAAUUAAAUUUAUAAUAUUAAAACAAUUUAAUCAAACAAAAAUACUGUAAUAUUACAAUGUUAUCAUUAUUUAUAAAUAAUUCUUUUUUUUUCCGACGAAGUAACACAUAUUGGGUAGCUAAAAUAAUGAACGUGUGAUUGUGUUUAGUUAUAAUAAGUAUAAUUUAUUUAUACAUCGUUGAUUAUCUGACAUAGUAUUUAGUAUUUGAACUGAAAUUGCCCUUUGUGGUUUUAUUCCAUAAUCUGCACAUUAACCUACCCGACAUGGUUUUGAAGAAUUUUUUUUCGGAAUUCGGGUUUGAACUUGCGAUCUCUGGGAUAAAAACAGGUAGGCACCACCAAUUGACUAUGACAGAUAUACUAUAAAGUUAACAAUAUUGAUGAAUUCCUAAACAUAAUAAAUAAUAUAAUAUCAGAACUUCAAAAAGCUAUAAUUUCGAAACUAAUAGUUCUUAAAUUAUGUUCAAAACAAAUAGAAAAAUUUGCAUAUACCAGUAACUAGAUUUGUUCCACAUAAUUUUUUACUAAAAUGAUUUUCGAUAAAAUUUGGUUCAAAAAUUCCUAUAAAAAAAAAAACUACAUUGAACUCAAUUUUUUUUUUGUUUUGGCCACAAAGUACGACAUUGAACGAACUGCCGGUUAAAUUUUUAAGCAUUUCUUUAUGGUCUAACAAUUUUAUUCACAGAGUACCUAUCGAAUAAAAAUUACGAAAAAACUAUAAAUAGCUCAAAAUGGCUAGAAUGUUUUGAAAAUUUUACCACGUCUAAAAAAACCAAAUAUAAGUUUUCUGUCCAAAUUUCAAGUCACUGUGAAUAUUUUUUAUUGAAUUAAAACAGAAAAUACGUCCUAGGAUAAUAGGAACAAGUGUAGCCACUGUUAUAGGUAAUUUAAUGUAUACCUUAAGCAACGAUAAAUCAUUGCUUACGAAAAACGAUUCUGAGCGGAGUUUAGUUGAUGGUGAUGCUUUGACAACAAUAUAUAUGCCGUAUAUUAUAGUAAAAUAAUUAAGUAGGCUCUAUAUAUUUCCUUUAACAAUAAUUGUUUAAUUUUGUACCGAUUUUUCCGGUUUUCCAACGUGUUUUUCUUGGUUUUUCUACGUUUUUUCUCAGUUUUUCACAUUUCCUGAAAAAACUCCGGAAGAAAUUGAUAAAAGACCUCUUUAAGAUACCUCCCCAGUAAAAUUUUCUUUUAGAAAAAUUGUUAUCAUUAAAAGUUGUAGCGAAAUUGCUUGCAGACAAUUUGUCCACAGAAAAAAAAUCGAAUUAUUUUACUAAUAUAUUUCCUAAAUUUUCCCGUUUUUUUCGGUUUUUGACAUUUGUUGAGAAAACUCAUGAAAAAAUCGAAAAAUGAACUCCCUUAAGUACCUUCCCACACUGAUUUUCUAUUAGAAAAAGUAAUACACGUAAAAAUCGGAGCAAGUCCUCUGAUAGAAAAGUUGUUCACAGGAAAAAAAAUAAAUACAUAUCUUUGUAAAACCAUACGUUUCUUCACUCCACUCAGAAUUUAAAACAAAAUUGAAAAUAAUAAACUCAAUAGGUAUUUUUAUAAAUUUUCCUGUUUUUCUUAAGUUUUAUCCCGGGUCUUGCCAGGUAUUAUGAAAACCGCAUGGAAAAUCAAAAAUUGACCCCUUUUAAAAUACCAUCUAGAUAAAAUUUACUUCCAUAAUAGGUUAUACAUACAAUAGGUUUCACAUAUCGAAGCAAGAUUUCUGGUAGAAAAUUUGUAUUGAUAUACGAGUAUGUAAAACGAAACCAUUAUUGGGAAAAUUGUUCGUCUUUAGUUCUAUAUUGCACCAAUAAGACAAAAUUUUCUUUUUAAAAAAAAAAAAACAUUUAUACACUUGAAGAUUGUAGCAAUAUGUUUGGUAAACAAGUUGUUUACAGACAGAAGAAAAAACAAAUAAUAGUAAUAUCAAAUAUAUUCCUUGCUGCGCUCAGAAUCUAAAACCGUUUAAUUUUUUUUACAAAUAAAUUGAUUACCUGCUAUAUUGUAGUUAUGAAUUAAAGAUAUAAUUUUACAUUUUAACCGGAACGAGAAAUGUAGGUAUUGAUUUUAUCAUGAUGUUUUUUUUUUCUGUGAAUAAUUUCUUUCAGACAUUUUGCUUCGAUGUUCUAGUUUAGCACCUUUUCUGACGGGAAAUUUGACUGGGGUGGUAUUUUAGGGAAAUCUUUUAUUGAUUUUUUUUGGGAUUCGCAUAAUAAAUGGUUAGGUUUUUUGGCUUCAAAGAACUUUAAAAAGCUAUUCAUAAUCAAUAAUGACAUUUCUACUAGGUACUAGAUUUUUACAGUAACCAGAAGUACCUAUCUGAUAUUUUACUAUUGGAGACUUGUUGAUUUUGUACACAAUUCCAGUUUAUCAAAUAUUGUAAUACGGUGAUAGUAUAAAAGUAAGAGGUGGCACGUGGAAGACGAAAAUAUUGUUGAUAGGUACUGCCAUAGACAUGCUUACGUGUUACUUAAAUAGGUACUUUUUGUAUUUAGGCAACCAAAGGAAACCAACCGGGUGACAGACCUUUCUCGUUCUACCUAUUUAAAUUUGGGCGAAGAUAAAAUAAUAUAACAAAAGAAUGUAUAGAGAACGGUUCUGGUUAACUGUUUCCCCAUUGGUAAUAUUCGCAUGGAAAAACGAAGUAACGCUAUUCGAUUUUUUUUUUUCAGGAAAUCUGACAUGAUUCCAUGAAAAUUAUUGUUUUAAAAAUAAUAAUAGAUAGCUAGGUAUAAUAUUUGUACCAGUUGUUUAUAAGAUUUCGUAUACAAUUUAAUAACAUGCAUUACCUAUACCUAGUACCUAGUUGUAAGUACUCUUACAGUUAGAUUGGUAUACAUAUUACAACUAAAAUCAAAACCUCAAUAUGACACUUUGUUUACUUAUCAAUUUACUUAUAAGAGAUUAUUUUUAAUUUUUAAUAAAUUAAUAUAUUAUUUGACACUAUGGAAAAUAAUAGAUAUAUUAUCAUAACGAUUAGAUAAUUAUUAAUAAUUUUUUAUUCUAACGCCAUAAUAAUUUAAUUAUUACGUGAUAGUUCAUUAUAUAUAUACCUAUAUUAUUAUUGUACAGGAUUUAUUUAAUAAAUACAAUUAAAAUAUAAAAAACCAAACGAUAAAAAAAAUGUUUUAAAAAGUAACACGUUUUACGAGUAGGUAUCUGCCGACAUGUAAAAUUGUCAUCACUUAUCUGUAAAGAUAACUUAUUUUGUAAAGAAAAUGAUAUGAAAAAAAUGCUGAUACAAGGGACAGGUGUGCCACUGUUGUAAGUAGAAAGUUGAAAAGAUAGAAUACUCUAAAUUAUUUAAUUUAUAUCCGUCAGUAACGAUGAAACAACUUCUAACUAAAAACGAUACCGAGCGAAGUUCGGUUAUAUAUGUUUUGAAAUGCCGUAAUAUUUACGAUUUUAGUCAAAAUUUGAUAUUAAAAUUCUUAUAUAAAAAAUCUUUAUUUAUUUAAACUUUAUUUUUCUUUUUUCUUUUUGACCACAAAGUAUGACUUAUAAUGAACCUACUGUUAAAUUUGCAAGCAUUUCUAUUUAAUCUUAACAAUUUUAUUCACAGCCGAGUACCUACCGAAUAAAAACUUGCAAAAUUAAAAAAUCUAUUAAUAACUCAAAAAUGGCUAAAAUAUGAAUAUUUCACAACGUCUAGAAAAAGCAAAAAUAAGUUUUUUGUCAACAUUUCAAGGCUAUAUGAAAAUUUUUAACUAAAUUACAUUAAAAAACCAAAAUUCAAAAUAAAUAAAUAAAAGUAUUAAUUUUGUAAAUUUUCCGGAUUUCUAUGUGUUUUUCGGUUUUUUCAAUUAUAACUUAAACAUUAUUUUCUUACUGAGCAACUAGAUUAAAAAUUCAAUAAAAAAAAAUCUCUUGUUAUUUUUCUAUUGGAGUAAUAUAUUUGGUAGAUAACUUAAGCCGUAAAUAUUUAAAAUAAAGGAAUCCUAGCACCGUAAAUUUAUGAAUUCAUUUUUCAUCUUCCCCCCCCCCCAAUUAUUAUGAAAAUUACUAAAAAAAAAUCAAAAACGACUUUCUUCGUAGGCAACUAGAUCCAAAAUGUAACAAAUACAAUAGCUUGUAAUUUUUUGAUUGAAGCAAGAUUUAAAACAAAAAAUAACUACUAUUUUUGUAAUCGGUCACAAAAAUGUAAAAUCAUAAAAUCGUUCCGCCAUAAAUAUUUGUCCGUUUUUCCCUACGUUUUCCUACGGUUUUUUCCCGAUUUUUAAAAAUUCUUAUAAAAAUCGCUUGUAAAAUAAUUAUAAAAUGACCUUUUCAAACUAUCAACUAGAUAAAAUUUUCUUUCAGAAAAGGUACUUGAUAAAUCGAAGAAGAUUUUUUGGGAGACAUUUUUUACACAGUAUAUAUACGAGGUGUGGCUAUUUAAAAACGGGAUUUCCUUCUGAUUAGAGUGCAAUUAACUCUCUGGUGGGUAAUUAUAUAUAUAUUAUAUAAAAAAAAAAAAACAAAAAGAAUAACAUCAUUUUAAAACCAGUAUAUUCCUAGCUUUGCUCAGAAUCUAAAAUGUUGUACUUGAUAUAUUAAUAAAUUAUACAAUUAUAAUACAUAAAUAAAGAUUUUCAGAUGCUUUCGUCAAUUUGUUAUUGUUGUAAUAAAAACAUAUAGCUACUGAAAAUGGUGCACUCUUCAUAAAUUUUGUUGUAUAUAAUUAUUUAUUAAUAAAACAAAUUUUAUGUUGAAUAAGGUUUAUUUUUAUUCUUACAGCCCCCUUUCAUAUCAUAAUUUUUUUUUUCCAAAACAUUUAGUCAGUUGCUGAGCUGAAUGAUGGGUGAAAUGAAUCAAAAUUAGAUUUAUUCGUAUAUUAUUUUACGGCAAUGAAAAGUGCAGAGGAGGAUAGACGUAGUCUAAUUAAUAUUCGAGACGGUUAUCGUUUACACAAAAACGAUGACAUCUGCUAGUUCUAAAUGACAAUGGCGAUACAGGUUCCUGACCUGAUCGCAGGUCGUGUACCUUUCCGGGUUUUAAUAGUAUAGCGUAAAAUGACCGACUUUUUUGAGAUCACGAUUUUGUCCAUAUUAUAUAAGUGUAUUCCACUUGAAAUAAAUGUACACAUUCCAACGAACCCAAUCAAUAUCGACAAAUUUAAUCUAUUCAAAAAUAUAAUUCCCAUCAAUUAUUUAUAGUUAUUUCAUUUUCAUGCAACAAAUAUGUUGGGGUUCGACUAGUUUUUAAGAGGACGUUAUACCUGUAUCUAUUGUUUCAAUCCAGCUACAAGCAAAAACAAUACUUAAGCAGUAUUUAUUAUUCCUUAUUAAAUAGCUUGAUUUUGAUUUUAGAGUAAAAGUAUCAAUUAUGGAAUUUAUAGAAAACAAUAUUUUGAAGGGAAUGCCAUAGGGUUGUUUAAAUUAUUCAAAAUAUACAGCUUGAUAUAAAUUAUACAAAACCCUUUAUUUUUUUUUUAAUAGUCCAUAAUUAAAAAAAAACUAUGACAUUCCUUUCAAAAUAUUGUUUUUUAUAAAUUUUAUAAUAGGUACUUUUACUCUUAAAUCAAAAUUAAGCUAGUUUUACUUAUUCUGCAUAAGCAUUGUUUUUGUAUGUUACCCAAUAGUUAGACUGAGGCAGUAGAUGCGGGUAUAACGUUCACUUUAGAAUGACAUGUUCCUAACUUGUUUAAAAGAUAUAUUGGGUGUCAACUCUCAUUAAUAAUGCAAAAUUAAAGUGAUCAAGAUGUAUAUUGUAUAAAUUAUUUUUGAUAAAGGUACUAACAUUCAGUGCCGUAGCCAAGGGGGAGGGACACUGGGGGCCCAUGCCCUUCGAAAUAUUUUUUUUUCUGUAAUGUUUAUGUAGUGCAUUUAACAUAAAUUUGUUGUAUUAAUAAAAUAUAUUAUUAGUACUAUUAUAAUUUAGAAAUAUAAAAUAUAUAAAUUUAUAUUUUUAUGCAUGAUAUUUUAUGAAUCACUAAUUGCCGAAAAAAACAUGUCCUCUACCUUGAAUACAUACUUUAUGUAUAUGUUAUAGAAAUAUCAAUUGCUAUUAUCUCAAUAAAUUAUUGUGACAAGGUGGUAGGUAUUUUUAUAGUCACUAUAGAGUUUUGUUAAAAACUUGUUUUGUAAAAAAAAUAUUAUUCAACCUUUUUGGAAUUUAAAAAAUUCGUAAAUUAUAAUAAUAAAAAGAAAACCAAAAUAUUUUAGUAACCAAGCUACCUAAGGGCCAAGAAGCAGCUGUAUAGCCAAAGAAAUUGUAUACCCAAAAUAUUCCUAUAAUGAAUUUUAAAAUAAAUUAUUUCAAACGUUUCCAGAUUUUGAGAAACAAUUUACAAGUGGCCAACUCACAAACAAUUAAAUAAUAAAUUGUAAUAUUAAAUAAAUAACUAAAUAAUUACAUUUAAAAUUCCAAAAUUUCUGUAGCCAGAAAACUAGAAUUAUGCCCUCUAGACACUUUAAAUUCCCAACCGUUCAUGGAUUUCUAGUCUAACAGUGUAUCUAAUACAUAUGGACAUCUGUUGGCCUUAAAACUCCUUAAAUAAAAAAAAUAAUUAUACAAUUUAAUUAUUCGAUAGUGAAUCAGUUAUCAAUAAUAGCAAAACUUAACUGAUUAUUUAAAUCAGUUAAGUUUUGCUAAAUGUAAGUAGUUGUUAUGGGGUUUUUUCCUAUAGGUACUUGUAAAUCAAAAUUAUCUAACUUUGUCACACAUUAAUAUAAAAAACCCAUUUGUUUGUACCUCUAUACAUCCAAAAUAAUAUUGUCUCUGACAUUUUUAGCACAGAUACUUAAGAGUUGAUUUUGUAUAACUAACUUGAAUAGUUUAUACUACAAUCAUAUUUAUUAGAAAAUUAUAAAUCAAAUUUGCAAAUAAUUUGCACGCUUCUUUAAAGUUACCUUAAAUACUUUUAUAUUAUGAAUAAUAACUUAUUAUUAAUGUUCUUAUUUUUUAAUUUUAAUAACAAUUAUUACUAUUAUUUCCAAACCAAAAUUUCGAUAACAAAAACAAAAUGCUAGGUCCUUACUUGUACUGUUUUCUAGAAAAUUGAAUUCUGAAUAUUUACUAGAAAAUUAUCUGUUUUGAGAUCCAAAUCUUGUUAAUAAUAAAUAUUCCUAAAGUUAACAUGUAUUAAAAAUAUUUUAUUAAACAACAUUCGCUAUAAGCUGUAAUGUUUAUUGUAUUAUUUUUUUUUUAUAGAUAUACUAACUUGUAAUACCGGCGGCUUAGGUCCGGUAUUUAAAUCUCCUAAAUCAACUGGAAAUGAAACAGUUUUUGGAUUGAAUUAGUGAAACUGUUAUCCACAUCUUGCUCACUUUGUUGUUCUAAAUGUUUCAUGUUUUUUAAAAAUAAAUAAUGUUAGAAAACUAAAUGAAGUGUGAAAUAGAAAUUAUAAUUUAUACUUACUAAAAGUUAUAUUAGAAUCACUUGUUAUUUUUCUUAAAUUUAUUAAAAAUUGAAAACACAUUUUUUUCUAUUUUAUUCAAUAACUAUAAAAAAUAAAAAUAUUAGUAUGUACCUAUAUAUAACAUAUAUGGCCACACACUUUUACCAGAGUCGACCCGACAGAUUUCGGGACCCGGUGCAGAAUUUUGCAGGGCCCCAUAUAUAUUUAUGUAAAUAUAUCCAUAUUUAUUUAUUUUAUUAAUAUUUAUAAAAAUAAUAUUUUAUUAAUUAGUAUUUUUAUUUUUUUGAACACGAUGACAUAAAUAUGAUAUAAUAAGUAUACUUUUACUUUAAAUAAAAAAAUUAACAUAAAUUAUUGUAAUACAAUUGAUAGUAUAAAAUAUUACAUAAACAUUUUUUUUGUGCUUAUUUUGAUGCAAACAGGUCAAUUGUCUUAUUGUAGCUCAAAGAAUCGGCAAUACUAUGUUCGAUGCUGAUAAAAUAUGUUUAAGUGUUUUUAAACCAAUGACAAUGUGUCAAGCUAUUUAUAAUUGGUACCUACUAUCUGAAUUUUCGUUGAUAACAACCCGUGUUUUAAGAAAACUAUACGGCCACACGGAUCGCAAUUUACGUACCUGCUAUUGGGACAAUAUUAUUAUGAUUUGUGAUUAUUUAUAGAUAAAGUAAUUCGGAUUACAUCAUUGGCGAGGCCCCGCACAAGCGUGGAGUUUGGUGCGGCCGCACCGCUUGCCCCCUCCCCUGGGGCCGGCAUUGCAGUCACACAGACUGUCAGAAACUUGGAACUGAUAAGCGAAUACUAAACGGUGGUUCGUAAAUCGUAAUUAGGUUUUUGUCCGAAUAUGGGCACAGGGCUCUAGAGCUUUACUACUGUGUGUUCUGUAUGUGCUCUGAAAUCGCAUAAAAGCCGAAAAUAUACUCUAAAAAUUCUAAAACGCCAAAUAUGCUAAAUAAAAUUUUGUUUAUAGACUCUUUAUGUCGUAAAACAAAUUUUGGUAUAUAUAACUAGUUAUUUUUUUGAUUAACAAAUAAAAAUAUGCAAAUUCAGUACAUAUUUCUGUCUGCUCCGGAUGUUAAAAUGUAUACUUUUUCGUACUGAACACUAUACCAAACCAUAAUAUAUUAUAAGUAUAUAGUACCUACCUAAUAGACAUUUUAUAUUACCUCAGACUAAUUUAGUAUGUUUGCAUUUUUUUUUUUAUAAAUUAACUCAAAACGAUUUCAAAAAAGACAUAACUAAUAUAAUCUACUCACAUGAAUAUAAUAAAUAUUAACUACACAUACGAUCAAUUUUGAUUCUUUAUUUAAUAAUUAUUACCUAUGAAUUAAAAAUCGAUAUUAAAAGUGCAAACAAAUUUAAAAUUAAAAACAAAAACAAAUAAAUAUCAUAAUAUAGGCCACUGAAAACUUUUUAAUUUCGUACUGCACAUUUAAAAUUUCGUAUUACACUAAGUGUAUCGUACUUCACACAACAAUUUUAGUCCCUAGUCUACUCUAGUUAUAAGUAUUCAAUGUUACUGCACCUUUCCUCAACUGUGCUACAAAAACCAAUUAUUUAUACUCAUAUAACAUAAACGAAACCUAUGGUCUAUAUGUGUACCUUACAUUUACAGAGGGUUGAAUUCAAUCCUGCAGAUAAAUCAUAACGUCAUACUUAAACAUAUUAACUAUAAAUAUUUGUAUAUUAGAUUGCAUGAAAUUAUUAAAGUAACGUGUUACCUUAGUUACAGGAGCCAGAAACUCAAAACGGCAACGAAACCAUUAUUAUACAACCAUGCCGUCGCUGCUAGAAGCGAUUGCAGAAAAGUACGGAUGUUUUGAAGAUGACACGUUCGAUCAGAUGCCUAUAGCUAUAUAUGUGCCUCGUAAAAACCCCAGAAAUAUGAUACCAAAUUUAUUAGUAUUAAAUGACUGCGACAUCGAUUCGGCCGGACAAGAAUCCGAUUUAAGAGACAAGUGUCAUGGUGUUGAAGAAUUGGAUUUAGCUCAGAAUUGCUUAUCCAGAUGGAGUGAAGUGAGUUUUACGUAUCUAUCAAUAUAAAUAUAAUAUGUUUCUAGAUUAUAAGUGGAGCAAAGAAGGUUAUGGUACUGUUUAUUAUUAUUUUUUUUUUGUGGAUAACUUAUCUUCAUUUGUGUUCGUAGUAGCAUGUACACAUGCUAGUAUGAGAUUUAUUGGCCUGCUAUUUAUUCUCAACCUUACGAUCUUUUCGGAAAUUGGUCCAAGUUCUUCAAUGUGUGGCAGCAACGACUUAUGUACAGCGGUACCACUCCCCUAAUUGUGCCUGUUGAUCAUUCCUGAAAAAUAUAUUUCGUAAUCUUUUAUUCUUAUCGGUCCUGUUCUUUCCCAUAUUAUCUCCUGUAGUUAUUUUUCGGUUGCUAUUUGAACUCCAUAUGUUCUUAAGAUCUUUUAGGUCUUAAUGGAUUAGGACUAGAUUCUGUCAUGCGCCAGUCCUGUAAAUCUUAAAUAAAUUCCAAGUCACGAUCUUAAAAUUUACCAUCCGAUUUCCAUGUCGAAAUGUAAAAUCGUUUCUCUGUGUCCGAGGAAUAUUUUAUGAUAACAUAACAAUAGGUUUUUUCUAAAGCAGGGUUGUCAGCCCCAUGCUAAACCUCCGACCUGGAGGGCUAGACCUCACCAACCACUUAAGGCCAGCAUGGGGCUAUUGAAAUGUACAUAGUGUACAUUGGCCGAUAGGCACAUAACUCUCUUUACGCCCCUGAGUUCGCCAAGCCCGUUACACUGAGUGUUCCUUUGUGGUAGCGGCGCACAUUACAUUUUUUACAAGGGUGUCGAAAAUAUAAAUAUCUAAAUACCCAUCUCACUCCACCAGUCAAAUUUAUGAGUUUAGGCAUAAUAAAACUCAAUUACAAGUUAAUAUUAUUAAUAUUAAACAAAUAUACAUAAAAAUAACAUCUAAACUCACCUGAUACCCACUAAUUUUCUGAGAGGUGUCAGUUGACACCCCAGACCUCAUCAGAGUGUGCCACUGCUCUGUAGCUAAUUCGGUUUUUGUUAUAGUUCAGUUAAAAAUAUUCAUUGAGAAUUGAAAUUUCUACAAAAAACUUAUAUUAGAUAAUUUAAUGCUAUAAUUACGAAAAUUUACUUACUUUCAUUAUUAUAUAUUAUAAUAACAACUUAUACUUACUUAUUCUACCUAUUUAUUUUAUGACUUUAGAUAUUUAAAAUAUUACAUAUCAUGCCGAGAUUAAAGUUUGCCAAUCUGAGUUUUAAUAAUUUAAGUUCAGAUAUAAAUAGUGCAAUUGAUGCUUGUGGAGAUGUACGAGAGACAUAUCCAUGUCUGAAAAGCAUCGUGUUGAAUUCAACAAAUAUAACAUGGCGCAGCUUUAGACACAUCCUAAAAAGAAUACCUAUGUGCGUUGUUUACCUUUCUAGUUUCAAACACUGAACUAUAUACAUAUAGUUCAGUGGUUUCAAAGUUCCAACAUAUACAAAUAAUUAUUUACAUGAAAUAUUUUAUAUUUGUAUAGGGUUGAAGAAAUACACUUAAGUAUGAACAAUUAUGAUGUUAUAAACUUGGAUGAAGAUGAACAUCGUCAACCUACUCAAAUGUCUUCUGUAAAACGGUUACAUUUUACAGGUAUUACAAUUUUUGAGAGCAGUAUAAGUACAAGUUGUUUGUCCUCCGUUAAUAACAUUUUUUGCGAUAAUUUUUGAUUUUGAGUGUAAUAUUUUAUUGAUUUUAUUAUGAUGUAUGUUAAACAAAUUUUCCAUCAGAAAUCUUGCUCCAAUCAUCAACUUCAAGAGUGGUUUCUGAUUGUAAAUUUUUUCUUGAUGGUACAUUGGAGGAAAACUAGACAAUUUAUUCAAUAAUGGUUUCUAUUAUUUUCCAUUUUGAUUUUUUUUUGUUCCAAUUCAGUUAGAAAUAAUUUUAGAUGUUAAAAAUGUUGAAAAAAUUGGGUAGAUAAAAAGUUAUAGUCCGGGUUCAGAUACAAUAAAUCAAUACAUUUGUUCUUAAACAUAAUGUUAAGAUAUUAUAUAUAUAUAUAAAAAAAAGGACUGUUUUUAAACUAAACUAGACAUUAUUUAUAGGAAACCCUAUUUCUACAUGGUCAGAAGUAUGUAAACUAGGACGGGCAUUUCCAAAUCUGGAAUCUUUGGUACUUGCUGAAUGUCCUCUGCAGUCACUUAUGACUCCACCACCUUCACCAGACUCUCAUUUAGGCCUUUUAUCUUACCCAAGGAAAGAUAAUGAAUUUUGUGGUGAGUUUACCUAAUUAGUAUAAAAAAAUAAUCAAUUAUUAAUUAUUAUAUCAUAAAAUAUUGCACUUCUAAGAUAUGACGUUGGAUUCACCACAUGACGCUUUCAUACAUCUAAGAUUCCUUAACUUAAACAGAACCCUAAUUAGAACAUGGGCCGAUGUAGAUAUCCUGGGCCGAUUCCCUGCAUUAAGAUACCUUAGAAUACAGGGCUGUCCAUUAUUUGAAGUAAGUAGCGACUAUUAAAAAUUCUUAAAUUUCUAUUCUUAAAAUAUUUAUAUAGAUAUAUUCCAAAUUUAAUGGGAACUUUGAUGAUUGUUUUUAUUUUAGGAAAACUCUGAAAGACAAGAAUACACAGAACAUGAACGUAGGCAGUUGUUGAUUGCACGAUUGCCCCAUAUACAAACUUUAAACGGAGGUGCAGAAAUUACAGCUGAUGAAAGAGAAGAUGCCGAACGGUUUUUAAUCCGAUACUAUAUGGAUAAGCCAGAAAAUGAACACCCAGAUAGGUAAAAAAACAUUACUGAUUUAAUUGAUGUCCACCAAAAAAGUAUUCUCCCACCAUUCAGGUUUAGUUAUGAUAUUUCAGUGAUGAUGACAGAAUAUCUCAGGUAGGUAUUCCAUAAUAUUAUAUACGGUACCCGAUGUUAUACCUAUCUUAUAUCAUUAAUUUUACUGUAUAGAUUUUACCAAAUAUUGUUCUUAAAAUAUCAAAUAAGUGAAUUUCACACAUAUAUACUUUUUUUUUUUAUUAGCAGUAUAAUAUUUUAGUUUUAAAUGUAUAAUCUAUAAAUAUAGUAUAUAAAUUGUAUAACAAAUGAUUAGAACAUCAAAAAAAUAUUAGAUAUAUGUGGAUUUCAACUAAACCUGAGUGACUGAGAAUACUUUCUUGGCUGGUGUCAACACGUCAACUAGACCAGUACCAAAAAGACCUUACUCAUUAAUUAUUUAACAUUAUUUUAAAAAAAUAUAUCAUGCAUAUACAUUAUACAUACAUUUUACAACUUUAAUAUUAUUAAAUCACUUUGUAUAUUGUAUAGAAAGUUAUAUAAAUUUGUAUAAUAUUUUAAUUCUAUUCAAAUUUAUUUCAUAAUAGUUUCUAUUUAUCUACCUAUAAGUGAUUGAAUCAUUAAUCUUUAGGUAGCUAAUACAAUUUAAUUUUCAAAAAUUAUAUUUUUUGAACUAAUUAAAUUAAAUAAUCUUAAAAAUUUAUACCUAGUUUUAUUCUUCAAAGAUUUUUAAUCCAUAAUUAUUAGUUAUUACUUAAAUAGGUAUGUCAUAAUUUAUAUUUCAAAAGUUAUAAAAUCACUUUAAACAUGUUUUAGAUAUAGUGAAUUAAUUCAAGUACAUGGGAAACUUGAUCCUUUGGUUAACAUAGACUUGACACCUGAAAUUAAAGUUUUGGUCACUAUUAUAUGCGGUGAAAAGUGUGAACAAUAUACAUUAGAUGUGUAUCAGACUGUAGCAGACCUCAAACAAAAAUUUGAAAAAUUUUCUGGUAUACCAGCACACCGUAUGCGAAUAUUUUAUGUGGAUCAACAAGUAUGUUCAGUAAUUGGUCCUGAAGAAAUGAAGUUUCCCAACAAGAGAUUAUACAGUUACAAUAUAGUCAAAGGAGAUCAAAUAAUUGUUGAUUCAAAAAAGUAAAAUCUUACUGAAUUCUGUAAAUAAACUUUCAGUGAAUUGUGAUAUAAACAUAAUAUAAUUAAGUAUAUAAAAUUUAAUUUCAGUUUUAUAGUUUAAAAUAACAUUAGUUUUAUUGUAUACUUGUCAGUAGAAUAGAGUAUAGGUUCCUCCAACAGUGAUUCAAUUUCUUAAAGAUAUAAGCUUAUUAUUAUUAGUUCAGUUACCUAUACUUAUUCUGCUUGAGUACACAAUUCAAUCAAAUUUUUUUAAAUAUAAUGUUAAAACAUUUGAAAUGUAAUACUGUUGUAUACUUUUUUAAUAUUUAAGUUUUAGUACUAUAAUUGGUCUAUGAGUAUGUUUGUAAUUCUAAUAUUAGUUGUAAUUUAUGUAGAAUAAAAACUUACUUCUUUAAAUAUAAUUAACAAUUAAAGUAAAAUAUUGAAUUUUAAUGUUGAAUUAAAUCUAUUUUUAUUGAUCCACUAAGACUUAUUAAAAGUAUAUUAUACUUAUUAAAGAAUAUCAAUUACUAAAAUUAAUGAUUCAUUAUUUACAUU